rnacentral:lncRNA from 1 species
GAGGAGGAGGAGGAGAACUGUAGUAGUAAUGGUGGGGUGGUGGGUAGUGGACUGGAGGUGGUGGUGGGGGAGACUUGUAGACGUAUGGCUUCUUGUGAGGUGGUGGUGGUGGAGGGGACUUGUAAACGUAUGGCUUCUUGGGUGGUGGUGGAGGGGACUUGUAGACGUAUGGCUUCUUGGGUGGUGGUGGAGGGGACUUGUAGACGUAUGGCUUCUUGGGUGGUGGUGGAGGGGACUUGUAGACGUAUGGCUUCUUGGGUGGUGGUGGAGGGGACUUGUAGACGUAUGGCUUCUUGGGUGGUGGUGGAGGGGACUUGUAGACGUAUGGCUUCUUGGGUGGUGGUGGAGGGGACUUGUAGACGUAUGGCUUCUUGGGUGGUGGUGGAGGGGACUUGUAGACGUAUGGCUUCUUGGGUGGUGGUGGAGGGGACUUGUAGACGUAUGGCUUCUUGGGUGGUGGUGGAGGGGACUUGUAGACGUAUGGCUUCUUGGGUGGUGGUGGAGGGGACUUGUGGACGUAUGGCUUCUUGUGAGGUGGUGGUGGUGGAGGGGACUUGUAGACGUAUGGCUUCUUGGGUGGUGGUGGAGGGGACUUGUAGACGUAUGGCUUCUUGGGUGGUGGUGGAGGGGACUUGUAGACGUAUGGCUUCUUGGGUGGUGGUGGAGGGGA